CGCAAGAUAGCUGAGACUUGAAUGAUGGUGCAGGUGUACGAGCACCACUGCAUUGACAGCCUUCCUGGCAGAGUGCGGAGGUUGAGGGAUGCUGCAGUGUACAUGGUCAACAACACUGAUGCUGUGCAAUGGGCGCUGGAAUUCUACGGCUUCAGGAAUGUCGACUUCAAGGUGCACCCUCUGUUCCUGCUGCAUGCUUGACAAGCGAAUUAAGGACUCCCAGGCUUCAGCCAUGUGUUUUCCUAAGCCCACAGAUGACCUCUAGGUGAGGCAACCUAUUGCAUGACAUUCAAGACACGGAUGCUUGAAGACAGUCCUGGCUCGGUCUAUAUACCUCAAAUAUGGAGCACUCUUUUGAACAGCAUCUGCAAAACAGGCAGACUGAGGGUACAAAGAUCCUACUCCUGGAUGAGCAAAUGUCUCCAUGCACAUUAUAAAUUGGUCACUGACAUUGUGUUGGCUUGUGCGAGCAGGUGCAUGCAUCGCAGCAGACAAGGCAGGCAUUGGAAGUUGGCC
rnacentral:lncRNA from 1 species